UACGAAGGGAGCUAGCGUUGUUCGGAAUUACUGUGCGUAAAGCGCACGUAGGCGGAUUAGUAAGUCAGGGGUGAAAUCCCGGGGCUCAACCUUGGAAGUGCCUUUGAUACUGCUGAUCUCGAGGCCGGAAGAAGUGAGUGGAAUUCCUAGUGUAGAGGUGAAAUUCGUAGAUAUUAGGAAGAACCCCAGUGGCGAAGGCGGCUCACUGUUCCGGUACUGACGCUGAGGUGCCAAAGCCUGGGUAGCAAUCAGG
rnacentral:rRNA from 1 species